UACGUAGGGUGCAAGCGUUGUCCGGAAUUAUUGGGCGUAAAGAGCUCGUAGGCGGUCUGCCGCGUCGGCUGUGAAAACCCGGGGCUCAACCCCGGGCCUGCAGCCGAUACGGGCAGACUAGAGUGCGGUAGGGGAGACUGGAAUUCCUGGUGUAGCGGUGAAAUGCGCAGAUAUCAGGAGGAACACCGGUGGCGAAGGCGGGUCUCUGGGCCGGAACUGACGCUGAGGAGCGAAAGCGUGGGGAGCGAACAGG
rnacentral:rRNA from 1 species